UCUCUAUGUGGUACCUUGUGGCCG
rnacentral:siRNA from 1 species